GGCAGAAGCUUCUGUGGCUGUUGAGUUACAGGUGUGUCUGCAGGGAGGACUUCUCCAGCUCCAGCGCUGGAUGCUCAGCCCCAACCCAGCUCCCAUGGCAGGGGUUCUCCGACAGGGAAGAUCCAAGACAGAACAGACCAGAUAUCCCUGGAACCCCCCAAACAGACGAAGCAAGAGCUGAAGGAAAUGUGGCAGGGAGGACAAGAAAUGAAAGGAGAGCCUGUGCACAUGGAAGCAUUACCCAGAGGAAGCAGUGGUUCCAUGCCAGCCUCUGCUGCAGGAAGGGAGGCCAUGACAGACCCAGGCCCAGGAG